UUUAAUAUAUUCUACAACUUCUUUUCUUUUCUUUUUUAUUAAUAGAAUUUAUUUUCAGGUAUUGCAUCCCCUCUCUCCCUCCUCAUACCAUAGAAAGGAUCAACCAGCAAGCAGAUAUGUAUAUGUUGAUAAUUAUACUGCUGACUCUCUCCAUCAUGAAUACCAAUAAUAGAGAGGACCAAGUGUCCAAUGAAGUGACCUUUCUGCUGUUGCUUUCAUUGCCUUUGGAUUCAAGGAUGAAACUGACUGCCAAAUCUUUAUUGACUUUUCCAAAGAGUACCUGAGACAUUUUUCCAUGUGGAUUCCAAGUAUAUAGAUCAUAAGAUUUAGAAUUCAGAAAUCACCUAUUUGAAUUCUCUUAUUUUAUGGAUGAGAAAAUGGAGGCCAAGGAAAGUUAAAUGAUUCACCUAAAGGCUAGUCAGGCAUUAAGCACCAGGAUCAGGAUUCAGACAUAGAUAAUUUAACUUGAAAUCUUGUGUAUUCUCUUUAGUUGUUUAGUUUAAUUUGUAAUAUAAAUGAAAUGCCACUGUGGAUGUAUUGCAAUUUUUUCAAUAAAGUAUUCACAAGUUGAUCA
rnacentral:lncRNA from 1 species